rnacentral:rRNA from 1 species
GGGACAACAGUUGGAAACGACUGCUAAUACCGCAUAAGCGCACAGCUUCGCAUGAAGCAGUGUGAAAAACUCCGGUGGUACAGGAUGGACCCGCGUCUGAUUAGAUAGUUGGUGAGGUAACGGCCCACCAAGUCAACGAUCAGUAGCCGGCCUGAGAGGGCGAACGGCCACAUUGGGACUGAGACACGGCCCAAACUCCUACGGGAGGCAGCAGUGGGGAAUAUUGCACAAUGGGGGAAACCCUGAUGCAGCGACGCCGCGUGAGUGAAGAAGUAUUUCGGUAUGUAAAGCUCUAUCAGCAGGGAAGAAAACAAUGACGGUACCUGACUAAGAAGCCCCGGCUAACUACGUGCCAGCAGCCGCGGUAAUACGUAGGGGGCAAGCGUUAUCCGGAUUUACUGGGUGUAAAGGGAGCGUAGACGGUAGACCAAGUCUGAAGUGAAAGCCCGGGGCUCAACCCCGGAACUGCUUUGGAAACUGGUAAACUAGAGUGCAGGAGAGGUAAGUGGAAUUCCUAGUGUAGCGGUGAAAUGCGUAGAUAUUAGGAGGAACACCAGUGGCGAAGGCGGCUUACUGGACUGUAACUGACGUUGAGGCUCGAAAGCGUGGGGAGCAAACAGGAUUAGAUACCCUGGUAGUCCACGCCGUAA